rnacentral:rRNA from 1 species
AGUGAACGCUGGCGGUAGGCCUAACACAUGCAAGUCGAACGGCAGCACAGUAAGAGCUUGCUCUUACGGGUGGCGAGUGGCGGACGGGUGAGGAAUACAUCGGAAUCUACUUUUUUGUGGGGGAUAACGUAGGGAGACUUACGCUAAUACCGCAUACGACCUACGGGUGAAAGCAGGGGAUCUUCGGACCUUGCGCGAUUGAAUGAGCCGAUGUCGGAUUAGCUAGUUGGCGGGGUAAAGGCCCACCAAGGCGACGAUCCGUAGCUGGUCUGAGAGGAUGAUCAGCCACACUGGAACGGAGACACGGUCCAGACUCCUAAGGGAGGCAGCAGUGGGGAAUAGUGGACAAUGGGCGCAAGCCUGAUCCAGCCAUCCCGCGUGGGUGAAGAAGGCCUUCGGGUUGUAAAGCCGUUUUGUUGGGAAAGAAAAGCAGCAGGUUAAUACCCCGCUGUUCUGACGGUACCCAAAGAAUAAGCACCGGCUAACUUCGUG